AUCUUUUAAAAUACAGAGGGUACUGUAAUGGACCUUUCCCUCUGUAUUUUAAAGGAUGC
ensembl:miRNA